UACGGAGGGUGCAAGCGUUAAUCGGAAUUACUGGGCGUAAAGCGCGCGUAGGCGGCUAGAUAAGUCGGAUGUGAAAUCCCCGGGCUCAACCUGGGAACUGCAUUCGAUACUGUUUGGCUAGAGUAUGGGAGAGGGAGGUAGAAUUCCACGUGUAGCGGUGAAAUGCGUUGAGAUGUGGAGGAAUACCGGUGGCGAAGGCGGCCUCCUGGCUUAAUACUGACGCUGAGGUGCGAAAGCGUGGGGAGCAAACAGG
rnacentral:rRNA from 1 species